CGACUCCGCGCGGAGGAGCGGGGACCCGGGCCUGCAGUCGGAGGCCCGGCUGCUGGGGGGCACUGGGGCAGGCCUUACCGCCAACCCCGCACCCUCGGCCGGGAGGCUGCAGGUCGGUGGCUAACCCCAGGCGUGUCCCGGGAUGGGACCCGACUCUGCCCUCAGAGACAGGGACAGUCGGGCCAGGCCAACAAACAACCAAAAUCCCAACGUGUGCUGGGCUCACCCGGGACACCAGGGCCGGAGGGAGAGACCCGGGAAGUCACCGAGGCUGCAGGGGAGGCAGCUUUGGCGCUGGGCCUGCGGGAGCCUCUUGUAUAGGAAUUCAUAGCUACCGGGGUUACUGAGGAUGAGUUAGGCUUUGGAACCACAAGUAGAUUUAUUUUCCAAAGAAGAAGAAUAAAAUGGUGCAGGUGAAGAUGCGGAGGAACUGGAUGAGACGCAUAGGAACGCCACUGGGCAGCUCAAAGCGGUGUUCCUGUGAGUUCACCAUGGACCCCUUGAGCCACCGACGCCCCGCCCAGCCUUACACUCAGCAGAAACGCAUACAACAUGUGCUCCAAAAGACAGAAAGACAUGUAGCCGCACAUUCAUAAUUCCUCCAAUUGGGAAGCCUAGCGUCAUCAAGGCAGAUGAAUAUCGUGGAGUAUUCGGGCUUAGGAGCACGACAAACGGAACAGGAGUGAAUGAUCCGCAACUCACAUAACGGGCAUCCACCAUCCAUGAUGGGCCCUUGACCUCGCCCACUCCACACCGACCCUAGGACUUGGAAGACACAAGGAACUCAUGUGAACACCAUGCUUAAACUGCAGCUAUUAUUUUACUGCAACUAAUAAAGUCCCUGUCUCUGACCCAGGAGUCUCAGAACUGGAGAUUGGCAGUGCCUCUAUUUGAAUGGAGGUCAUCUGACUCCCUUUGUAUCUUGGGUUCUGUUUUUCAAUAAAAAUUAUAGCAUUGUAACAUUUCCCUGUCUUAUUAGAAAUCUCCAUUACAUAUCCAGUGAGUGGAUAUGUUUAGAAGUCGCAUACACAUUUACUUAACCACUCACUCUCUUAUUAGGGGACAUUUUCGUCAUUUAAACUUUGCAGCGUUAGAAAUGAUGCUGCCGUGAAACCUGUGCGCUCCAGGUUCAGCUGUACCUCUGCGGCUCCCAGCAGGAAUGGCCUAGAAGAGUAAGUGCUGCACCAAGAAA
rnacentral:lncRNA from 10 species